AUGCAGUCGACGGAAACGAUGGGAGCUUGCUCCCAGGCGUCGAGUGGCGGACGGGUGAGUAAUACUUAGGAAUCUGCCCAUUAGUGGGGGACAACUAGAAGAAAUUCUAGCUAAUACCGCAUACGCCCUACGGGGGAAAGCGGGGGAUCUUCGGACCUCGCGCUAAUGGAUGAGCCUAAGUCGGAUUAGCUUGUUGGUGAGGUAAUGGCUCACCAAGGCGACGAUCCGUAGCUGGUCUGAGAGGACGAUCAGCCACACUGGGACUGAGACACGGCCCAGACUCCUACGGGAGGCAGCAGUGGGGAAUAUUGGACAAUGGGCGCAAGCCUGAUCCAGCAAUGCCGCGUGUGUGAAGAAGGCCUGCGGGUUGUAAAGCACUUUCAGUAGAGAAGAAAAGCUUACGGUUAAUAACCGUGAGUCUUGACGUAACCUACAGAAGAAGCACCGGCUAACUCCGUGCCAGCAGCCGCGGUAAUACG
rnacentral:rRNA from 1 species